GGAAAGGAAUUUAAAAUUUUGAAAAUUUUAUUAGGUUGUUUGGCCACUUUCUU
rnacentral:tRNA from 1 species